UAGUGGUAUUACGCCUGAGACAAAAUAUUUCGUUUAAAAUCAGUUGUUUCCCCUCCGCUACUGUAUGUUUCCGGUUUCAUAUUUGAUCAGGGAAGCACGUGAAGUUUACUUUUGUUUAACUACCUUCUGUUCAACGAUGAAGGGAUCUGAGACUUGUAAUACUGUUUACUGAUUUGAUAAUAUUCCUUGUUCCUUUGAUGGUUCAUUCCACUACAGCUGGUUCAUUUACCCUACACCAGCCAGGAAAUUGGUCUGUUUACUUUAAGAUCUGAAGAAAAUGUAACAUAUUUUGGAUAUGCUUUGAGGAAUCAGGAAGGCAAGUGUUUCCUCUUGUUUAUGAAAGCAGCUCAGUUGGUUAAGGAGCAGACAACUUGUGAGCAUGGUACAUCACUACCUGUAUUGGUAUUCCAUUUUGACAAUGCUGCUAGCUAGAAUAGAAAUAACAUCUUGCUGUGGUUUGGUCUGUGGAGAGUUUUACUAGGAUAUCACAGAUCGA
rnacentral:lncRNA from 1 species